rnacentral:rRNA from 1 species
GACGAACGCUGGCGGCGUGCUUAACACAUGCAAGUCGAACGGAAAGGCCCUGCUUUUGUGGGGUGCUCGAGUGGCGAACGGGUGAGUAACACGUGAGUAACCUGCCCUUGACUUUGGGAUAACUUCAGGAAACUGGGGCUAAUACCGGAUAGGAGCUCCUGCUGCAUGGUGGGGGUUGGAAAGUUUCGGCGGUUGGGGAUGGACUCGCGGCUUAUCAGCUUGUUGGUGGGGUAGUGGCUUACCAAGGCUUUGACGGGUAGCCGGCCUGAGAGGGUGACCGGCCCCAGUGGGAGUCAGAUACGCCGCAGAGGCGUGCGGCCGGCGGCAGUGGGACAGAUUGCAAGACGGGCGGCAGCCGGAGGCAGGCAGUGCGCGUGAGGGCUGACGGCCGUCGGGUUGCAAGCCGCUUCCGCGUGGGAGGAAGGAUGGGUGACGGUAAGGAAAAAACAUCCACCGGUUAACUACGUGCCAUCACGGUAGUUAAUAGAGAGGAACAGCAUACCUCCGUC